rnacentral:rRNA from 1 species
UCUGGGAGUAAACGGGUGGUACCCGAAAGUUCGAAAGGGGAGAUUCAAGUCUCGCCGCGCGCCGGGCGGCGGACGCGAGCAGAGAUGGCGUUUUUUCCACGGUCGAGGGGCAACUCUCGGCAUGUGGGAGCGCCACUCCGCGGCCGCUGUCUCUCCCGGUGUCGGAGUGACGCACUUCUCCCCGAGUAGGACGUCGCGACCCGUCGAGCGCCGGCCUAAGGCCGCGGGUGGAGCCUGCGAGGCCUGCCUCUCCUUGAGGGGGGCUGACCGCGCAUGACCCCGCGAGUCCCGGCCGGGAGCGCGACGGUAUGAAGUGACGGAAGGAGUCGACGCGCCAUUUUGGCGUCUGGCCCUCCGCAAGCGCCCGCGGGAGAUCGGAUAUCGGGCCUGGCCCGGUCCCGGUCCCAUUCGCGGGGCUGUUUGCGAGAAGGAGGUGUCCUCGGACGGCGUUGAUUCUCCGGUCGGCGACGCUUCAGCUUGGAUGGCCUACCCGACCC